rnacentral:tRNA from 1 species
GUAGGGGAACCUGCGGCUGGAUCACCUCCUUUACGAGAACCGUCGCUCACACGAACACAAGUUCCCACACAAGUAGUCUGGCAGACCGCAUUUAUUGCAAGUGCUCUAGUACCGAACACGGGUCUAUAGCUCAGUUGGUUAGAGCGCACCCCUGAUAAGGGUGAGGCCGGUGGUUCGAGUCCACCUAGACCCACCACUCUUGCAUCGCAAAGGUUCAAAGGGGCCAUAGCUCAGCUGGGAGAGCGCCUGCCUUGCACGCAGGAGGUCGUCGGUUCGAUCCCGUCUGGCUCCACCACUUUCUGGUCAACGAAGCAGUAACAUUAGUAAUAAUGGCACUGGACACUUAGCACCAAAAAGGCAUUGUAAUAAAUGUACACACCACGGUAACUUCAGAAGUCACCGCAAAGCAAACCCUCUUUCAUCAUACCAUGAAGCAGCCGUUUAUUUUGCACUGGCUUUUGUCAGUUCAACCUAAGUAGAUAGGUCGUUCUUUAACAAAAUGGAAAAAUAUCAAGGCGAAAUGUAUAACUGAGAAGAUUAUAUAUCUCAAGAUUGAUCGUUACGAGAUUAUAGACACGCUGUAACCCGAGUUUACCGCACAAAAGGUAGUAGACUGUUUCGGGUUAUAGGAUCAAGUGACUAAGCGUACACGGUGGAUGCCUUGGC